rnacentral:misc_RNA from 1 species
ACAAGUACACAAACCAUCCCACUAGCUAGACAUGUUAAAACUUUUGCUCCCGUUGCUUGCCUUGGCGUUUCAAAGUGCCCAAGGAUAUCGACGGGUAUGUUACUACACUAACUGGGCUCAGUAUAGAAACGGACCCGCCAAGUUCUACCCAGAAAAUGUCGAUCCCGACUCUGUGUACACACAUCAUUUAUGCCUUUGCUAAAAUGAAUGGCAACCAUUUGGCACCUUUCGAGUGGAACGACUGAGAGUACUCCAUGGAUGAAGGGAAUGUACGAACGUUUUACCAAACUGAAGCAACAGAAUCCUUCCCUGAAAACCCUUCUGGCCGUCGGUGGAUGGAACAUGGGAUCCGCUCCUUUCACCAGAAUGGUGGCCACCGACGCUGGCAGGCGGGAUUUUGCCACCACAUCUUUACAAUUUCUGAAGAAGCACGGCUUCGAUGGUCUAGACAUCGACUGGGAAUACCCAGCCAACAGAGGGAGUCCAGCGGGGGACAGAGACCGCUUUACACAGCUUGUCAAGAUUCUCCAUGAGACAUUGUCACCGGAAGGUCUUAUGUUGACAGCUGCUGUUCCCGCUGGAAAAACAAACAUUGACACAGGAUAUGACGUCCCUGCAAUGUCACAGUAUCUAGAUGAAAUUAACCUAAUGACGUACGACUUGCACGGUGGUGGCUGGGAGGAUAAAACCGGACACAACUCUCCCCUGAAAUCUCACCCUUCAGAGACCGGAAAUGAGACCUAUCUCAAUGUUGAAUGGGCGGUGAACUACUGGCUUCAGAAGGGGGCACCUGCUGAAAAGCUGAACGUAGGAAUGCCUCUGUAUGGACGUAGCUUUACCCUUGCUAGCUCUAGCAACAAUGGGCUGUCUGCCCCUGACAGAGGGAAUGGUGGACAAGCUGGCAGAUACACCAGAGAGGCCGGGUUCCUUGCUUACUACGAGAUUUGUGAUAUGUUGAAAACUGGAGGAACUCGCCACUGGAUUCCUGAGAUGGAGGUUCCUUAUGUUGUGAAAGGCGACCAGUGGGUCGGCUACGACGACCCACAAAGCUUGAAAUUCAAGGUGGAUUUUGUCAAAAGUAAGGGUGUCGGUGGAGUCAUGGUCUGGGCCCUGGAUCUUGAUGACUUUAGUGGAAGUUGUGGAGAAGGAAAAUAUCCUCUUCUACGUGCGAUCAAUGAUGAGCUGGCAUCGGGCCAAGUUCAGCAGAUGACAAAUGCCCCCACCACUGCUGCUCCAACUACCACAACCACCCAGAGACCCAACCAUCAGACCAACCACCCCAAUAACCACCCAACGGGGGCACCUACCACCACUACGACUUCAUCAUCCAUAAAAACUACUCAUCACAUCGGAUCGACCCACCGAUUUAAUUGUAUCGGCAAAACUAGUGGUUUCUAUGCUGAUCCUAACUCCUGCACACAGUACUUUAUCUGUGCUGGUACCCAAAGUUUCGAGGUCUCUUGCGCCUCCGGACUCUUGUUCAAUGACGCAACCAAAUUCUGUGACUGGCCAUACAACGUCCGAUGCAAUGCGCAGCAAAUUGCGCAUCAGACAACAACACGUGCUCCAGUGCCGACCAAUCCUCCACAAACAACGCAUGCGCAUGGAACACAGCACAUGACAACAACAACUACACAGGCCCCAUACAUUCCAAACCUUGGGGGAGAUGCUAACAGCUUCUGUAGGAACCGAGCUGAUGGUCACUACAGGGACCCUGCAAACUGUGGCAUGUUCUACCAGUGCGCCAUGAACCUUGGCUUCCACGAGCCCUGUCCCCCGGGCACUGUCUUCAAUGAGGCCAUCAUAGCCUGUGAUUUCCCCUUCCGUGUCGCUGCUUGCCAAAACUAUUCACCAUAAUGGUGGAAUAAAAUGAAACAAUGACUCUUUUCUUGUGAUUUUCUUCGAAUUACUUAUCGUUUUUUUAAUGAUCAUUUAUUUUGACUUUCUGUGAUUUGAUCACACAUAUUUAACGCAUGUAACUAUAUUUUGUAUGACAAUUUUUGAAAUAAAAUUAUUCUAUU